UACCUUGAGGCUAAAGAUGCACGGCUGAACUACUCAUUAGAAUUUUCAGGAUGGAAAAUCUAAUUAUUUGGGGCUGUUCUUGGCUGAAAUAACUUGUGCAGGAUUCCUUCAGACGUGUGGUCAGCAUGAGUAAGUUUAACUUUGUCUCAUUUAUUUGUUAGGAUUGCACAGCCUGGUUUGUUAAUCCUCGCUCCGUUAUACCUAAGUUUCUGCUCUAUUGAACAUAAUUACAUUUUCUUUUCCUGGAAACUUAGAGAUCAUGAAGAAUUCAAGGUUAAGAUCAAUGUUUUAGUUGAGACUGCACCAACAGUUCCUGAAGAAGUCUAGAAUAUCCACUACGGUACUCCUUGGCCUGUUAAUAAUGUGUGCGAUCAUCCUGCCAUGAAUGAUCAAGGUCUUCCUUGGAAACAAAGGUCUUAACGAUGUAGAAAACUACGAGCUGCCUAGGCUGGUUUAUGUUCUCGUGAGGAGAGAGCCCAGAUCUGACCAUCAUAAGAAGGUUGAAGAAAUAAAUUUAUUGUAUUCAGUUGAAGAUAUGACUCUCUGGGGUUCUAUCAAAUGGUCUUGAUCUUCUGAAUGAAUGUCGACUGUGAUUAAUACAUCAACAUUAGCAAAGCUCUUAGAGAAGCAAUGUGUCCUUAGUCGGGAAAAAGCCAACAUUUGUCGUUUGAUCCUCUUCUCUCUGACUAAAUAUAAUGGUCUAACCGUGCGAGGCCAGUGUUAUCAAGGGUUACUUCAGCUGGGUGUUGAUGCGGAAGUUUUCCUGAUGGUGGUUGGCUUGCGGGAUGUAUAUAACAACAAAACUCUUAUACAAAGUUGUCUCGUGAGCUCACGGUUGGCUUGCGGGAUGUAUAUAACAACAAAACUCUUAUAAUUUAUAUUCGUUGGCUUGGUUUGUCUCUCCUCCCCCUAAACUAUAUCUGGUUUGUACUUUGGGAGCAUUUCUUUGAACUUGGAGUUUUGUUUAUUGACAUGGGCAUGUGUUGUGCCGCAUUUUGGACUUUCAAAUAAAAUAAAGUUGAUGUGGGGGAGAUUAUGUUACACGUGUCACGUGUGAUGUGUGAGUGGGGGCAAU